rnacentral:rRNA from 1 species
GAAGGUGGCUAGCGUUGCUCGGAUUUACUGGGCAUAAAGCGCGCGUAGGUGGUCCUGUAAGCGGGGGAUGAAAUCCCAUGGCUCACCCAUGGAACUGUCCCUCGGACUGCAGGGCUGGAGGACGGGAGGGGAGAAUGGAAUUCCCGGUGUAGCGGUGAAAUGCGUAGAUAUCGGGAGGAACGCCGGUGGCGAAAGCGAUUCUCUGGCCCGUUCCUGACACUGAGGCGCGAAAGCUAGGGGAGCAAACAGGAUUAGAUACCCUGGUAGUCCUAGCUGUAAACGAUGGGCACUGGGUAGAGGAGGUGUCGAUACCUUCUCUGUCGAAGCGAAUGUGUUAAGUGCCCCGCCUGGGGAGUACGGUCGCAAGGCUAAA